rnacentral:rRNA from 1 species
CCUACGGGAUGCAGCAGUAGGGAAUCUUCCACAAUGGGCGCAAGCCUGAUGGAGCAACACCGCGUGAGUGAAGAAGGGUUUCGGCUCGUAAAGCUCUGUUUUUGGAGAAGAACGUGCGUGAGAGUAACUGUUCACGCAGUGACGGUAUCCAACCAGAAAGUCACGGCUAACUCCGUGCCAGCAGCCGCGGUAAUACGUAGGUGGCAAGCGUUAUCCGGAUUUAUUGGGGGUAAAGCGAGCGCAGGCGGUUGCUUAGGUCUGAUGUGAAAGCCUUCGGCUUAACCGAAGAAGUGCAUCGGAAACCGGGCAACUUGAGUGCAGAAGAGGGAGGUGGAACUCGAUGUGUAGCGGUGGAAUGCGUAGAUAUAUGGAAGAACACCAGUGGCGAAGGCGGCUGUCUGGUCUGCAACUGACGCUGAGGCUCGAAAGCAUGGGUAGCGAACAGGAUUAGAUACCCGAGUAGUC